GGUUGGUUUAGAUGGCCCUUGUGGUUUAUUCCAAUUCUAUGAUUCUAUGAACUAUGUGGUCAUGCCAUAUAUAUACCACCAGUGAUGAGCUAGGAAGUACAUAGGUAGAUUCUCAGACCCCUGCAUCAAUGUUCAACAAUAGCACACAGCACUAGAAACAGUCUAAAAAAGAGAAAGAUGGAAUUUUCAUUAUUCUUUGUAUUUUAUUUAUGUUAUUCCAUCUGCCUGAUAUUCAAACUGCAUAAAUCAUUAUAAUGUUUAUAUCUCACUUUUAAAAAUGAAGUGGUGUUAUAAGGCCAAAGUAUUGCCAUAUGCAUCAUUAAAACCACACCAAUCCAACUCCUACUGGGUAAGAAUAUACUGACAGUAACUUUCAUCACAGUUUCCCAUUAACACAUCUUGCUCUAGCAGAUGUCACCAGUGUGGUAUCACAAAAAUGUCAGUCUGAUGUUCAGGAUAAGCGGUAUUGUCAGAGCUUGGGAACCGUUACUCUUUUGGAUGACACCUCCCAGAAUGCCCGUCUAGCACAGCUGGUGGUCAUGCUAGUGGGUGGGGGAUUCCGGGAAUAGUGGUCUAAGAAAUGUAUUUCCAAGAUCUGGAAUCCAUCUUCCUUCCCAGGCUGACAAGACCAUGGCAGAAUGCAAAUCCCUGCAAUGAGAACAAAGGACCCUGGAACAUGGACCAGGCCAAAGAAAGGGCAACUUCAUCCAGCAUCCUGUUUUCCAGCAUCCUGGUUUUUUCCCCCUUUGUCCACCUGAUUUUUUUUAUUUUUCCUUCCACCAUUGUUUCUCAGUUACAGGAGAUUCAGAGAAGAGCUUCCAUCACUACUGCUGGAGCUUCAUGGCACAGAGUGCUUUCCACCAGUUUCUGCUGGAAGUUAAACUACAAUCUGGUCAAGAUAAGAUUUAGUGGCCUUUUAGAUCAGUGUUUCUCAAGUUAUGCAAAGUGCUGUGACCGUAUUUACACAACAGGCUGCCCUCUGGCCAAGUGCGGGUGGCGGUGGCAUUUCCUGCUGGGAGGUGGCAGGGGCAGAGGCAGGCUGGUUGGUUGGUUGGAAUGUAUCCCUAGUCUUUCCAUGUUCUAUGUAGUGGCCAAAUAGUAAGAAGAUCCUGUUGACUGCAAACCCAGAAAGAAUUAUAAUGAAGUUCUCUGAAAUCUCUUGCUUGUCCCCCCAAGGAGCAGCAACAGAUCCACUUCCUUGAUUGUGCCAAAAGAAUAUCAAUGUUAAGUGGUACAAAAAUGGGUUUAGCAAGACAAAGAGAAGCAGACUAAUAGUUAAAAUGUCUUUUCUAGUUGUGUGUUAGUUCAUACCUUUUGCAGUGCUGCCCUCUCUACCCUUUAUCACAAUAAGCUUUCUGAAGAAAAUAACUGAAAUGCAAACAGGCAACUGUUGUUAUGUGCCUUCAAGUCAAUCCUGUACUAUGGUGAUCCUUAUGAUGGGAUUUUCUUGGCAAGAUUUGUUCAGAGGGGGUUGCCUUUGCCUUCCACAGAAGCUGAGAAAGUGGGAUUCAACCAAGGUCACCCAAUGGGUUUCCAUGGUCAAGUGGGAAUUCAAACCAUGGUCUCCAGUCAUAGUCAAACCACUAUCCCACACUGGCUUUCAAAUUGCCUGAAAGCAUUUCUCCAUAUUUUUAGCCUGAUGGGGAUGGCGAUGGUAUCUGUCUGUCUGCUCCAGCCCCUUUUCAGGCUCAGCAGAAAGGGGAACAAGCCCUCGCAAGUGUCAUGCCUUAGUCUAUUGAUGCUCCUAUAAAGCUUUUCCUCACUUGGAUUUCCUUGUCCAAGAAACAUAUCCUUGCCAUCCAGAUACCCUCCUGUAAGGUUGCACUUCUGCUGUUCAUGCAGUGAAUCUUCCAAGUACCUGCAGAGCAAUAUUUGGUACUAAAGAAAAUUAAUAGCUCCCUAUUUGUACAACUCGAGUAGCUGGAGGCAGACAUUCAAUUCUGAAAUUCUGUAUUUAAGUCAAUACUAUAUUGGAGGGAAGGUUAUGAAAAAAAGUGACUCAUAUAUAAAAGCUGAAACUCAGCAUAUUCCUCCAGAAGAAGCAUCUGUUAUUACAUCCAGGUGAGCAUAUCGCCUUCCUGCUGAUUUCCCAAAUGCACUCCAUUUCAUAACUCUAAAAGAGAAUGGGUAGCAAAACUGAAUUGGUAAGAUGGAGCUAUGCUCUCUCCAGUCCCUGUAAAUGUAUAGAAAGUGGUCAAAUGACAGUGACAGAAGAAGCCAGGAAUGCAAAGAAUAAAUAUACCCCCCUCCAAAGUUCAGCACUCUCAAAUCCCAAUUGGUUUUCCACAGGAACACACAGCUUUUCUAUUAAAAUCCCCUGGACUUUUGAAAACGGCCUAAGUAUUUGGAUUCAGCACAACAUUUAUCAGCUUUCUAGAGUCCAUUUGUGCUUGGAGGAAAUCGCUCUUCAAAAAUAUGGAAAAGGUACAUUCCAACCUCAAUCACUUUUCUUAUUCUGAAGUAAAGCACAAAAAAAUGUUGCCCAAUAGAUUAAAUUAAUUUUAAAGCAACAUUAUUUGUUGCACAAAGCACUAUGUGAUUAGGAACAUUUCUUUAAUAGAUUCUAACUUGUCAAACAGUACAUCAUGUAUUGAGAUGGUUUUGACUAAUGGCAAUCAAAAUAUUAUGAUCAUUCUGUUCAUAUAAUAAAACUUGUUUUACAGACUGAACUAGGUUGAAACCUCUUCUUUGCAUAGCACACAGAAAGUAAGGAUUCUGCAUUAUAGGUUUAUAAAUUAUGGAGUCAUUGAUAGUAAGAGUUAUAAUAUUCCCUAGGAAACCAUUAAAUUAAGAACAUUUCAGUAGAAAUCAUCUAGCCUAGCUUUCCUCAACCUAGUGUUUUCCAGAUAUUUUGGACUACAGAUCCCACCCUUCAUGACCACUGGCUAUGCAGGCUGGGGUUGGCGAAAGUUGUUGUCCAACAUAUUUGGAGGACACAGUGUUGGGUAAAGCUGUUCUAAUAAAACAGUAUUACCAAUUACUAAGACAGUGAGAACAUUUUCAUCCUAUGGUUUAUAGCUUUGCCUUAUACCUGAUCUUCUGCAGUGCUUCAAUGCACUCUUUCACCAGCCGAGUUGCCUCUUUUGCUGUGCCCUGGUGCACUGAAAAGCCACCACCACCAUGCCCAUAAUUGUGGACCACCAGCAGCUUCUUAUUGCCAUGGACCAGUGUCUCUUUCUGAACUCUCACAGCAGACCUCGAUGGCCUCAGGCCCACCUUCACCUGGACAUCCUGAACUGUCUGAAGUGAUGGCUCAAGAGCACAACACCGGCUAAAUAUGUCCUUGCUGGUACCGGGAUCCAGAGACAGGUUCCAGUCGUUUUUUUGCCUCGUCCCACCUAACGUUACAUUGUGUAUCCCUGGAUAGAUGUAUGUUAGUCCGUCCCCAUCACGAAUGAAGUGUGUGGCCCAAGGAGCAUGAACCUUGAGAACUUGGCCUCUGGUGGGGUAUAUCUCUAGGUCUCCUAUAAGCUUCCUGGAGCCAAUGCCUGAACAGUUCACUACAAUGUCAUAGCUGGCAUGCAGUUCCCACAGGUCUUCUAUUUUUCUAGCUUGCACCUGGCCUCCAUUUUCUUUCAGCCUGUGAACAAAAUGCCAGAGGUAAAAAAUGUGGCAACAACCUGUUCACAUGAAUUCUCUAUUUGGACAAUUAUUACAUGGGGACAAAAGCAUCAGAGAAUGUCCAGCAUGUUGAAAUUGUGCAGCUGCUAGGAAAACUAGACAAAGAAUACAAACUAGAUCUCAGAUGCCAUUCAGAAACCCCAGACAGAAGGAGCAGGCAUUUUAGGGAAAUUGUGUUGGAGUUAUUCCCGCUCUCUGUAAUACAAAGGACUGAGAACCUCACUACUCAUUCAAAAUUUGAAGGUAUAGAAUAUGAAGAUCAACUCUGUGAGGACACUUCUGAGGAUACUUUGGUAGAUGUUUAUGCAUAGAUAGUCCUUUCCUGCUAUAUUUUCAGUUUAUUAUCCCUUGGUUUAUUCUUUUUAAUUCCUCUUCUUCUAGUUUUUCUUUCAAUGUGAUUUUUGCACCAGAAAAAAUAAAAUAAAUGGGGACAAAAAGGAAAGACACUUUGCUUAAAUAAUACCACCACAAAAAAUGCUCCAAUCAUAAUAGAUCUGGGUGUCUCCAAGACAUCCCCAAAAGAGGAAGCAUGUGUGUACAGGGCACAGAUUGGGAAUAUUCUAUCCCCUUUCACUAUCAGGUACACCCUCCACUCAGCAAGUAAGGUGUGCCACCAAAUUAUAGCACUUCUCAUUCCAUCUAUUGUUGUUAGAAUGCUGGGGCCAGAAUUCCAAUAAUCAUGCAAUUUGUUCUGUGUUUCAAAUGGGAACUUUAGGUUUCUGUUUCCAGAAUAGCAGCACCCACAACCCUACAAUUUUGCAAGGUACAUUUGGAAAUGAGGAGAAUUUUCACAACUAAUUGCUGGUAUGAGUUUGAUUACCAAAAAAGAAAAAUAGCAGUAAAAACAAUGCCAUCACCACACUGGGUAUAAUCAAAGUAAUUCUCAGAUUCCAGACCUGGUACUUAAAGCAUGAAUUUGCACAUAUGAGGAUACUGAUGACAUCCAAGCCUGUGUAUCAAACUCACCAAGAGUCUAAGUGUAUACACCAAAUAAUACUAGAGACAGAACAGAACGUUAAAGGAGACUGGUAUCUCUCAACACCUUUGCAGAACAGAAAAUAGCAAAGCCCUCAAACUAUUUACAUAUGCACACUUAUUGUACCUCUCAACCAGUGGUUUCUAGUCUUCUGUGACUGUGCAUCACAUGGCAAUCUCAAGUUGCAAGGGCCCCUUUCUUCACUUGGUGGACAUUUCCAUUCCCAUCACUUUAUGCUAAAAUCUCAACAUUCAUCAGGGACGUAGCUUGGAUUUUAGGAAGGGGGGGGGUCCAGACUAAGUGCCACCAUUAUAAUGGGGCUUGAGUGCGGCGGCGCAGCAGCACACACCAUUCAUUUUUCUAAUGGAAGGGGGGGUCCGGACCCCCAGAUCCCCCCCCUGGCUACAUCCCUGCAUUCAUCUGUGCAAUACAUGCUCAGUGCAUGCUCAUUUCCUACCAGCAAGUGCCUUCGUUGUUAUUUCUUUAAAUGACCCUCUAGUGUCUUCAAGAAUUCUACUGUUCAUAUGAAAUCAGAUAAUGGAUAGUUUAGCCACAAGGAAAAGAUAACGCAAACAACUUUAGCUGCCUGCAACACAGACAUCCAGGUCUGAUAUUCCUAUUUACAUUUUGGAGUUUUAGAUUUGAGUUGUCCCAGAGUUUUAAAUUCUGAAUUUUCACUGUCUGAUUAAAAUUAUGUAAACCUUCUAGGAAAUACCGUGUUUUGAAAGAGAGACUAGAGAUGUUGCAAAUAAUUGCCGGAAUCCUGUUACAUUGUGUAACUUUAAGUAUACCUUGGUAUGUAGAAGAAUGUCAGAAGCUGAAUCUUUCUGCUUGCCUCCCAUGGUUUGUAGUAUUAACUAAAGGGGGGGGGGCAUAACUUGACUUGCUUGUUAUUUGCUGUGCAUUUAACAUGUUAUACAGUACUGUGGGUAAAUGAUGGGAUAUAUAGUGAUACGAUAAUUACUAAACAACUGUUGGCCACAUUUCUUAGUAGUUAAUGAAAAUAUAGAAGGCAGUUGAGGCUGCUUCAAGAACAUCCAAGGUUGGGAACUUCUGCAGUGGGGGAAGAAUGGAGGCUCCAUGAGAUAAGGGAAAGAAAAUAAUGUUUUGCUGUUGUAACAAAGAAGAAGGAAGUAUGCCAAAGAUCUGAACUGUGUGUGUUUCAGUUAUUCCUUGCUAGCACUUGCUUGUUAUUCCUGACAACAAAUGUCUCUGAUAGAUAUCUCUAAUUGCUGAAUAAAGGUUUUCUGAGUUUUUA